CUGUCCACUUUGGCAACAUAUACACUAAAAUUGGAACGAUGCAGAGAUCGACAUGACCCCUGCACAAAGAUGAUGCAAACUCACAAAGCAUUCCAUGUUUUU